rnacentral:misc_RNA from 1 species
GGGGAAGUGGAGGUUUGGCGUUUGGGACAUUUUAUUUGGUCUUUUAUGUACAGCAAUGAUAUACGAUCUCCCAUGCAUCCCACAAAUACUUCUAAGCAUUGCGGCAUUUGCCUAUUUUAAUUUUAGAACUUAAAAUUCUGCUCGGAUAAAACUUUGUUAACCCAAGCCCAUAUAUGUUGCACCGUUGAUGCUAUAAUGCUAACCUAAACUCCAUCUUCAAGUUCAACCAUCAAUC